rfam:Danio rerio chromosome 7 genomic contig CTG724, GRCz11 reference primary assembly.
AGCCACAGCCAUGUCACUCUGCAGCCCAAGACCGGUUACUCACUGAAGCUAAGCAGGGCUGAGCCUGGUCAGUACCUGGAUGGGAGACCACUAGGGAACACUAGGUUGCUGUUGGAA